UGGGGAAUAUUGCACAAUGGGCGGAAGCCUGAUGCAGCGACGCCGCGUGGGGGAUGAAGGCCUUCGGGUUGUAAACUCCUUUCGACAGGGACGAAGCUUUUGUGACGGCACCUGUAUAAGAAGCACCGGCUAACUACGUGCCAGCAGCCGCGGUAAUACGUAGGGUGCGAGCGUUGUCCGGAAUUACUGGGCGUAAAGAGCUCGUAGGUGGUUUGUCGCGUCGUCUGUGAAAUUCCGGGGCUUAACUCCGGGCGUGCAGGCGAUACGGGCUGACUUGAGUGCUGUAGGGGAGACUGGAAUUCCUGGAGUAGCGGUGAAAUGCGCAGAUAUCAGGAGGAACACCGAUGGCGAAGGCAGGUCUCUGGGCAGUAACUGACGCUGAGGAGCGAAAGCAUGGGUAGCGAACAGG
rnacentral:rRNA from 1 species